AUGGCAGCACUCGUGGUGCUCCUGUCCUUGUUGUUGGUGGGUGUUUUCGGGAAUGAGUUUAGUAUAUUAAAAUUACCAGGGUCUGUUGUUUUCCGAGAUGGAAAUUGGCGUAUACCUCUUGGCCAGGAGUUGCAGUGGGUAACCUGUUCCAUUGACCUCGGGCUACCAUUUUGGUGAUGGAGAAGGGAGUAGACAAACUUGCUCUACCCCCAGGCAGUGUAAUUCCGUACCCUUUGCAGAAUGCAGUUCCUUUUAGUCUUGACAGCGUUGCAAAUUCCAUUCACUCCUUAUUUUCUGAAGAAACUCCUGUAGUUUUGCAGUUGGCUCCCAGUGAGGAGAGAGUGUAUAUGGUGGGGAAGGCAAACUCGGUUUUUGAAGAUCUCUCCCUAACGUUAGGACAGCUCCGCAAUUGCCUGUUCCAGGAAAACUCUGCUCUCAAUUCACUUCCCCUCAAUUCUCUGAGUAGGAACAUUGAAGUUGAUCUGCUCUUUCUUUCUGAAUUGCAAAUGCUACAUGAUAUUCAAGUUUGUUGUCUCGACAUAAGCAUCUAGCCAAGGAUCAUUCUCCUGAUUUAUAUUCACUGGAGCUGGCAGAUUUGGAUGAAAUUGGGAAACAUUAUGGGGAAGAUUCUAAACAAUUCAGAGAUGCUUCCAAGAUCCUUGCUGAUGCUCUGCAAAAGUUCACAGAUGACAUGUACAACCUUUAUGGUGGGAAUGCAGUGGUGGAAUUAGUGACCAUCCAAUCAUUUGACACAUCUCUUGUCAGGAAGACAAGGACUAUUCAUGAGGCAAAACAAGCAAAGAACCCAUCAAGCCCCUAUAACCUCGCAUAUAAAUAUAACCUUGAGUAUCCAGUGGUUUUCAACAUGGUACUUUGGAUAAUGAUCACCUUGGCCUUGGCUGUGAUUAUCACCUCUUACAAUAUAUGGAACAUGGAUCUUGGAUAUGACAGCAUUAUUUAUAAGAUGACAAACCAGAAGAUUCGAAUGGAUUGAAUUCUCCUCAUGCCAAACUUAGAAAAGGGGUUUGGAAAUUGGCUGUUUUGUUAAACCUUUUAGUGUAGUUUAAAAGUAGAUGGUAUACUUUAAAUUUAUAAAAAAGAAAAAAGCAAUUUUUGUUCUCCAUGUGCCUGUGAUGUUCUUUUAGAGUGAAUUAUAGUAUUGAUGUGAAUUGAUUUGUGUGCUAUAGAUUCCAUAAUAUGCUCAAAUAUGAUAUAACCAUUUAAUAUAAUUUCAUUCCAUUUAACACUUGGAAAUGUGCAGUGAAAUAAAUGUAAAACAUUUAGAAUAACUUGUGUUAUUUAUGUUGGGGAAAAUGCACUGAAUUUAUUAGACAAACUUAGGAGUGCUUAACUUCCUCACACAGGACAGGUGAAAAUGACAUUUGGGCUGUUCUAUACCAUGAACCAUUUGUAAAUGUCUUAAUUUGAUGUAAAUAUCUCUGAAACAGAAGGUAUUUAACUUCAAGUAGCCCUAAAUUGUGGGAGUACUUACAUAGUGACUGAGAUUGAGAACUGCAUCUGAUUGACAGAGGGUGGCUGUUUUUUAACCUCUUCUGAAAGUUUGGUGAUCCAAAUCAUGAGGUGGAUAUUAAAAAUACUACAUUGAUCUAAAAAGAA